UCUCGACCAAUCAGAAAUGAAUAGGCCGAGUAGCACCAUGGCCUAGCCGUCUUGCAACCUACAAUGAGGCGUAGUUGCAUAAUGGAGGAAGAACUGGACAAAGCGUUUCCGGCAGGGUUUGAACAUGUGCAUGGAGAUUAAGCUUGCUGGCACAGAUUUUUUUUCUUUUUAAUAUAUCUAUCACUAUUUUAUGUGAUGUAAAAGCAUUAUCCUGUGUAAUAUUUGCAUUCCUUGGUGAGCAGAGCGGGUUUUCACGGUGCUGAACGACACUGAAAGGUUUAACCUCGCUUCAGCUGUGCUGUGCUGAUCAACGAUGGAUAAAUUACGAGACACUUUUUAAGCACCAGUCCAGACACUCAUUUCGGAUUCCAAGGACCGUUACGUAUAUCGUAACGUCGCAAUAGGCUAUUGGGACAAAGUUGUGGUGGAGAUCCAAGAUAAUUUCAGUUCUGGGCGAAGGGCUGCGUGCAUGAUCUCCAGUUCUCAAGCAAAGACCACCUACAUAAAGGGAAAAUGGCACCAUCAUCCCUUUCCAAACCUGACCCACUGCACUCGAGAUGUCUGACUUUUCAUCGCUCGACAUAAAUACUGGAAUGUUUUGGACCAGUACUGAACAUUACGCUCUGAAUGCUGACUGGGAAUAUCACUAAAGCAGACCCUUAUGAAUGCCGGCUGUGAACUUAGUACUGCAAAAAUGGGCAGGACAUCUCAGGAAAGAGGGCAGGAAAGUGUCACAUCUUUUCAAUCCUGGUGUCCUGUACUCCAAUAAAAGCCUGCGUAUGCUGAAUCAAAUUAAGCUGGGUGGACAACACAACAGUGCUGUACAAGAAAGUCAGAGCAAACUGCUUUCUAAGGAGAGACUGGUCUUUUGAACUGUGCAGCAAGAUGCUGUACAUGUUUCGUCAGUUGGUUAUAGCUAGUGCUGGCUAUAGUCAGUCAUAAUUGAUGGUGUGGGAGCAUUUUGGUUUCCCAGUAGUGGAGACCGUAAUUAAGUCCAAGGUGGUUUGCGAACUAGAAUUUGAAGCUAGAAACCUAUCCAGUGUGCUAACAAUUUUUUGUCCAGAGCAAGGCAUAAACAGACACUACCUGUGGUAUUUAUGGAGCUUUUGCCAGGAAAUUCAGGCCAGGCUAGAAAAAUAACUAGUUAUAGGGCUAUGUAUUGCUACAACUAUGUAACCGUACUUAGUAGUAGAGAACCCAGAAUUUAAUUCAUUAUGAUGGCCAUGAUGUAGUCUUACUAAUUAUUUUACAUAUUCUUGCCAUGUGCAAAUAAGGUUUUGUUAUUCAAACACAUCAAGACGCAUUACCUUUGGUUGUACAUUGUUCCUGAUUGUUUGUACUUUUAAAAAUAAAUUUCAAAACAAAUUGUU